AUUAGCUCUACGCGAGUGUCUAUUUGUCACCGCGGGUAGGAUCAGUUGGGGUUACCAAAAACCGAAUAAGCUUUAGGAUUCCAUCCUCUCCUUAUAUACCGGCGUCUGGAGGCCGUGCAUUUACCGGUUUACGUGACAUCUGCCUUCUCCGGAUCCAUAUUCUACUAUCAAAUCUCGACCACCCUCGCAAUUUUCCCUUUUACGCUCAGUUUCCGGAGACAUCGAAGAUAGAGGGGAAAAAAAGAAGAAGCUCUUUAAAAAGCUAUCGAAGCGAAAGGGUUUUACACAUUUUCUUGUCCUACCCUUGGGUAAAAGAUAGUCUGAAGAAGGUUUGAAACAAGUGGUAGAAAAGGUAGAGAAAGAGACCCUUGUUUGGACGGAGAGGAAAAGAAAGAAAAAGAAGGCGAAAGAAGCAGAGAAAAAAAAAAACGAUGAUGAAAAUCCCACAGCGAGCAUUCUGCAAGGAUGGGGAGGAAAAAAAAGCCACGCAAGUUGGCUAGAAAACGGGAUGCUCGGGGCGACAAACUCUAUUGAAAACAAAAAAAAGAAAUAAAUAG
rnacentral:misc_RNA from 1 species